UACGUAGGGGGCAAGCGUUGUCCGGAAUCAUUGGGCGUAAAGCGCGUGUAGGCGGCCCGGUAAGUCCGCUGUGAAAGUCGGGGGCUCAACCCUCGGAUGCCGGUGGAUACUGUCGGGCUAGAGUGCGGGAGAGGCGAGUGGAAUUCCUGGUGUAGCGGUGAAAUGCGCAGAUAUCAGGAGGAACACCAAUUGCGAAGGCAGCUCGCUGGAACGUUACUGACGCUGAGACGCGAAAGCGUGGGGAGCAGACAGG
rnacentral:rRNA from 1 species